rnacentral:rRNA from 1 species
CCUACGGGAGGCAGCAGUGAGGAAUAUUGGUCAAUGGGCGAGAGCCUGAACCAGCCAAGUCGCGUGAAGGAAGAAGGAUCUAUGGUUCGUAAACUUCUUUUUUAGGGGAAUAAAGUGCGGUACGUGUACCGUUUUGUAUGUACCCUACGAAUAAGGAUCGGCUAACUCCGUGCCAGCAGCCGCGGUAAUACGGAGGAUCCGAGCGUUAUCCGGAUUUAUUGGGUUUAAAGGGUGCGUAGGCGGGUUUUUAAGUCAGUGGUGAAAGUUUGCAGCUCAACUGUAAAAUUGCCAUUGAAACUGAAGACCUUGAGUGUAAAUGAGGUAGGCGGAAUGUGUUGUGUAGCGGUGAAAUGCUUAGAUAUGACACAGAACACCGAUUGCGAAGGCAGCUUACUAAGAUACAACUGACGCUGAGGCACGAAAGCGUGGGGAUCGAACAGGAUUAGAUACCCUGGUAGUCCACGCAGUAAACGAUGAUUACUAGCUGUUUGCGAUAUACAGUAAGUGGCUAAGCGAAAGCGAUAAGUAAUCCACCUGGGGAGUACGUUCGCAAGAAUGAAACUCAAAGGAAUUGACGG